UGGGGAAUAUUGGACAAUGGGCGCAAGCCUGAUCCAGCCAUGCCGCGUGAGUGAUGAAGGCCUUAGGGUUGUAAAGCUCUUUCACCGGUGAAGAUAAUGACGGUAACCGGAGAAGAAGCCCCGGCUAACUUCGUGCCAGCAGCCGCGGUAAUACGAAGGGGGCUAGCGUUGUUCGGAAUUACUGGGCGUAAAGCGCACGUAGGCUGAUAUUUAAGUCAGGGGUGAAAUCCCGGGGCUCAACCCCGGAACUGCCUUUGAUACUGGGUAUCUUGAGUAUGGAAGAGGUCAGUGGAAUUGCGAGUGUAGAGGUGAAAUUCGUAGAUAUUCGCAGGAACACCAGUGGCGAAGGCGGCUGACUGGUCCAUUACUGACGCUGAGGUGCGAAAGCGUGGGGAGCAAACA
rnacentral:rRNA from 1 species